GGGGACGAACCUGGUUUCGACUGCUGUGACAUCGAAUUCAGGAUUGCAUGCAGAGUUGAGGAACUCUUAAAAACCUCACCCAAUAACUGCCAACAACGAAAUGGCACUGGCUGCAUAAUUUAGCAACCAGCGCUCUCCCGGACUUCUCCUUCGGGGUCCGAUGAGAGUGUCAUAACACGGAGGAUGAGUCGAUCGGGUGCGGACUGCCGUUCGACAAACUUUUACAGCUCGCAGGGCGAUGGCCAGUCGGUCGGCGGAUCGGUCAGCGUUCCUUUAAUGACAGCCGACUAAGCAUGUAGUGGUUCUGGUUUCGCACCGUAGGACGCGGGUUCGACUCCCGCCGUCUCCACAU
rnacentral:tmRNA from 1 species